rnacentral:misc_RNA from 1 species
UCAAGAGACCCCCCUGAGAAACAAGCGCCCAUGUGCACUGUGCAUUCAUUUCCACACAAUAUCGAUCACUGUUUGACUUGGGCUCGAUCUGAGUUUGAGGGCUUGCUUGAGAAGACUCCUACUGAUGUGAACGCUUAUCUAUCUAAUCCUAGUGAAUAUACUUCUGCAAUGAUGAAUGCUGGUGAUGCUCAGUCUAGGGAUACUUUGGAGCGAAUUCUUGAGUGUCUUGAUAGAGAAAGAUGCGAGACAUUUGAAGACUGCAUUACAUGGGCUCGUUUGAAGUUUGAAGAUUAUUUUGCCAACCGUGUAAAGCAGUUGAUAUACACAUUUCCUGAAGAUGCUCAAACCAGUAAUGGGGCCCCAUUCUGGUCUGCUCCAAAGAGAUUUCCUCAUCCACUGCAGUUCUCAACUGCUGAUCAAAGUCACCUUCAGUUUGUUUUGGCGGCUGCUAUACUAAGAGCAGAGUCAUAUGGCAUUUCAAUUCCUGACUGGGUUAAGAACCCCCGGAAAUUGGCCGAUGCAGUCGACAGAGUUAUAGUCCCAGAUUUUAUGCCCAAAAAAGAUGCCAAGAUAGUGACUGAUG